rnacentral:rRNA from 1 species
GAAGGUGGCGAGCGUUGUUCGGUGUUACUGGGCUUAAAGCGUAUGUAGGCGGAAGAGUAAGCGUCUUGUGAAAUCCCUCGGGCUUAACCGAGGAAUUGCUUGGGCGAACUACUUUUCUUGAGGCAAGUAGGGGUGCAUGGAACUCUUGGUGGAGCGGUGGAAUGCGUAGAUAUCAAGAGGAACGCCGAUGGAGAAAUCAGUGCACUGGGCUUGUCCUGACGCUGAGAUACGAAAGCGUGGGGAGCGAACGGGGAUUAGAUACCCCGGUAGUCCACGCUGUAAACGAUGUCUACUAGGUUGCGGGUGUUCUGACGCAGUCGCGACCGAAGCAAAAGUGUUAAGUAGACCGCCUGGGGAGUACGGCCGCAAGGCUA